GACGAACGCUGGCGGCGUGCCUAAUACAUGCAAGUAGAACGCUGAAGGAGGAGCUUGCUUCUCUGGAUGAGUUGCGAACGGGUGAGUAACGCGUAGGUAACCUGCCUCGUAGCGGGGGAUAACUAUUGGAAACGAUAGCUAAUACCGCAUAAGAGUAGAUGUUGCAUGACAUUUGCUUAAAAGGUGCAAUUGCAUCACUACCAGAUGGACCUGCGUUGUAUUAGCUAGUUGGUGGGGUAACGGCUCACCAAGGCGACGAUACAUAGCCGACCUGAGAGGGUGAUCGGCCACACUGGGACUGAGACACGGCCCAGACUCCUACGGGAGGCAGCAGUAGGGAAUCUUCGGCAAUGGACGGAAGUCUGACCGAGCAACGCCGCGUGAGUGAAGAAGGUUUUCGGAUCGUAAAGCUCUGUUGUAAGAGAAGAACGAGUGUGAGAGUGGAAAGUUCACACUGUGACGGUAUCUUACCAGAAAGGGACGGCUAACUACGUG
rnacentral:rRNA from 1 species